AACGAACGCUGGCGGCGUGCCUAAUACAUGCAAGUCGAGCGAACAGAUAAGGAGCUUGCUCCUUUGACGUUAGCGGCGGACGGGUGAGUAACACGUGGGUAACCUACCUAUAAGACUGGAAUAACUCCGGGAAACCGGGGCUAAUGCCGGAUAACAUUUAGAACCGCAUGGUUCUAAAGUGAAAGAUGGUUUUGCUAUCACUUAUAGAUGGACCCGCGCCGUAUUAGCUAGUUGGUAAGGUAAAGGCUUACCAAGGCAACGAUACGUAGCCGACCGGAUAGGGUGAUCGGCCACACUGGAACUGAGACACGUGCCAUGAUCCUACGGGAGGCAGCAGUAGGGAAUCUUCCGCAAUGGGCGGAAGCCUGACGGAGCAACGCCGCGGGAGUGAUGAAGGGUUUCGGCUCGUAAAACUCUGUUAUUAGGGAAGAACAAACGUGUAAGUAACUGUGCACGUCUUGACGGUACCUAAUCAGAAAGCCACGGCUAACUACGUGCCAGCCGCCGCGGUAACAC
rnacentral:rRNA from 1 species